rnacentral:rRNA from 1 species
AUUGAACGCUGGCGGCAGGCCUAACACAUGCAAGUCGAACGAGUGGCGGACGGGUGAGUAAUGUCUGGGAAACUGCCUGAUGGAGGGGGAUAACUACUGGAAACGGUAGCUAAUACCGCAUACCAUCGGAUGUGCCCAGAUGGGAUUAGCUAGUAGGUGGGGUAAAGGCGCACCUAGGCGACGAUCCCUAGCUGGUCUGAGAGGAUGACAUGCCACACUGGAGAGUAGACACGGUCCAGACUCCUACGGCAGGCGGCAGUGGGGAAGAUUGCACAAGGGGCGCAAGCCUGAUGCAGCCAUGCCGCGGGUAUUAAGAGUGCCUUCGGGUUGUAAAGUACUUUCAGCGGGGAGGCGUUACCCGCAGAAGAAGCACCGGCUAACUCCGUGCCAGCAGCCGCGGUAAUAC